AGCUUUGUAGUCAAAAAAAAUGAUAUAAAAUUGCAAAUUUUAAGUUAUAAAUAAAUUAUUAUUAAGGCUU
rnacentral:tRNA from 1 species